rnacentral:misc_RNA from 1 species
GUUGAAGAACGUAGCGAAAUGCGAUAAGUAAUGUGAAUUGCAGAAUUCAGUGAAUCAUCGAAUCUUUGAACGCACAUUGCGCCCGCCAGUAUUCUGGCGGGCAUGCCUGUUCGAGCGUCAUUUCAACCAUCAAGCCCCCCGGCUUGUGUUGGGGACCUGCGGCUGCCGCAGGCCCUGAAAAGCAGUGGCGGGCUCGCUGUCACACCGAGCGUAGUAGAUCUCAUCUCGCUCAGGGCGUGCUGCGGGUUCCGGCCGUUAAACCACCUUCAUAACCCAAGGUUGACCUCGGAUCAGGUAGGAAGACCCGCUGAACUUAAGCAUAUCAAUAAGCGGAGGA